rnacentral:rRNA from 1 species
UACGGGGGGGCAAGCGUUGUUCGGAAUUACUGGGCGUAAAGGGCUCGUAGGCGGCCAACUAAGUCAGACGUGAAAUCCCCAGGCUCAACCUGGGAACUGCGUCUGAUACUGGAUGGCUUGAAUCCGGGAGAGGGAUGCAGAAUUCCAGGUGUAGCGGUGAAAUGCGUAGAUAUCUGGAGGAAUACCGGUGGCGAAGGCGGCAUCCUGGACCGGCAUUGACGCUGAGGAGCGAAAGCCAAGGGAGCAAACGGG